GGCAGGCCUAACACAUGCAAGUCGAACGGUAACAGGAAACAGCUUGCUGUUUCGCUGACGAGUGGCGGACGGGUGAGUAAUGUCUGGGAAACUGCCUGAUGGAGGGGGAUAACUACUGGAAACGGUAGCUAAUACCGCAUAACGUCGCAAGACCAAAGAGGGGGACCUUCGGGCCUCUUGCCAUCGGAUGUGCCCAGAUGGGAUUAGCUAGUAGGUGGGGUAACGGCUCACCUAGGCGACGAUCCCUAGCUGGUCUGAGAGGAUGACCAGCCACACUGGAACUGAGACACGGUCCAGACUCCUACGGGAGGCAGCAGUGGGGAAUAUUGCACAAUGGGCGCAAGCCUGAUGCAGCCAUGCCGCGUGUAUGAAGAAGGCCUUCGGGUUGUAAAGUACUUUCAGCGGGGAGGAAGGGAGUAAAGUUAAUACCUUUACUCAUUGACGUUACCCGCAGAAGAAGCACCGGCUAACUCCGUGCCAGCAGCCGCGGUAAUACGGAGGGUGCAAGCGUUAAUCGGAAUUACUGGGCGUAAAGCGCACGCAGGCGGUUUGUUAAGUCAGAUGUGAAAUCCCCGGGCUCAACCUGGGAACUGCAUCUGAUACUGGCAAGCUUGAGUCUCGUAGAGGGGGGUAGAAUUCCAGGUGUAGCGGUGAAAUGCGUAGAGAUCUGGAGGAAUACCGGUGGCGAAGGCGGCCCCCUGGACGAAGACUGACGCUCAGGUGCGAAAGCGUGUGGAGCAAACAGGAUUAGAUACCCUGGUAGUCCACGCCGUAAACGAUGUCGACUUGGAGGUUGUGCCCUUGAGGCGUGGCUUCCGGAGCUAACGCGUUAAGUCGACCGCCUGGGGAGUACGGCCGCAAGGUUAAAACUCAAAUGAAUUGACGGGGGCCCGCACAAGCGGUGGAGCAUGUGGUUUAAUUCGAUGCAACGCGAAGAACCUUACCUGGUCUUGACAUCCACAGAACUUUCCAGAGAUGGAUUGGUGCCUUCGGGAACUGUGAGACAGGUGCUGCAUGGCUGUCGUCAGCUCGUGUUGUGAAAUGUUGGGUUAAGUCCCGCAACGAGCGCAACCCUUAUCCUUUGUUGCCAGCGGUCCGGCCGGGAACUCAAAGGAGACUGCCAGUGAUAAACUGGAGGAAGGUGAGGAUGACGUCAAGUCAUCAUGGCCCUUACGACCAGGGCUACACACGUGCUACAAUGGCGCAUACAAAGAGAAGCGACCUCGCGAGAGCAAGCGGACCUCAUAAAGUGCGUCGUAGUCCGGAUUGGAGUCUGCAACUCGACUCCAUGAAGUCGGAAUCGCUAGUAAUCGUGGAUCAGAAUGCCACGGUGAAUACGUUCCCGGGCCUUGUACACACCGCCCGUCACACCAUGGGAGUGGGUUGCAAAAGAAGUAGGUAGCUUAACCUUCGGGAGGGCGCUUACCACUUUGUGAUUCAUGACUGGGGUGAAGUCAUA
rnacentral:rRNA from 1 species